UAUUGUUGUUUGAUGGAAGUAUGUUUUUUUUAGGGUAACUUGCUAAGUGGUAACUAAUAACUACCACAAGUUUUUACAGCCAGUGGAAAGGCUUGAGGUUUCUUCUAAGACAAUGAAAGAACUUGGUAUGACAGAUUAAUAAAGGCAGCAUGUGGUCUAUUAUAUGAACAGUAGACUUUAAGGAGACAGGGAGGGUGGAGAGGGACCAAGUAAAACAUUUCUACAAUGGCUCAAGUCAAAGUUGAUUAUGACAUAGACAAAGACAAGAAAUAAAUAGAAGUUAUCAAAAAGGCUUGGUUUGGAAGAUCUCUUAGAGAUAGGAAUGAAAAGAGGGGGGUGGUGGGAGAAAGAACUACAGAAAUGUUCCAGAUUUACUACUCGAUAUAUAUUUUUAAAAAAAUUCUCCAAAGCUCAGAAUAGAGAAUUUGCCAAAAAGCCCAUCACUCAUGAUUCAUUUGUCAUAAGCCUCUACUCAUUACCAUGAAAUUAUUCAGUCAUAAUUGCUGUCUUACUGAAGCAUACAGUUGACACAGUGAAGUCUCUGCUUUCACAGAACUUUAUACUUCUGAGUAAUGACUUUGUCUAUGCCAUGGGAUGGACGUCCUAUUCAUAUUGUGUCAAUAAACCUCAAUUAACAAUGUAAAAUUAAUGAAAAUAAUGUGAGUUAUUUAUAUUAGUUUAUGUGGUAGAAGAGUACUUAAUGACAACAAACUUGGUGUAUGUGAAUAUUAAAUUAUUGUAAAUUAUUUAAAAACAAUAAGAACUAGCCUUACAUUUCACCCCCCUGGACACUGUUUUCAAGAGAAGGAAGGAAACAUUCAAGAAAAAAUAAGAUAUAACUUAGCAUAAAUAAACAGAAAGAAUAUAAAUCUCUUUCACUUUUCUUUUUUUUAAUUUGGCAAUAGAACUGUUGAUAUUACCACACUAUCUGGCUCUCUCUUUUUCCUUUAUCAGUAAACUACCCACAUUUUAACUGGGCACAUUCCUGUCAAUCUGAUGAGAAUCUAUUUCAUACCCUGCUUUAGCUGGUAGUCUGUCAAGGAAAUGAGCUGAACAUGUCUGUGUACAGCUUUUGUGCCAUCCCUGGAUGAGCGAGCUGUCUGCCUCUAUGUUCUCCACAAAAUGGAAUAUAGCUGUACACCCAAGCCAAGUUAUGGAGGCUGGGAAGACCUAGAAUGUGGCAUCACUAUUUGGUUAUUUAGAAAAUUGUUACCUCAAAAAUGACCUAGGGGUCCUUAGAAUAAUAACACACAGAAGAAUAGCCUCAUUUUUCUGUUGGGCCCAGGAAACCAUGCCGAUUACCGACCGAGCUCUCAAUGGAAAAAUGCAGUCGGCGUGAACCACGCACGAACACAGCAGAGAAAGAAGAAAACACACACCACGAGGAACCCUAAUAGGACAAUACAUUAUAAGCCUCAUGGUACAUCCACUUGGUGUGCUGGGAGAGUCAGGAUGAGGACCUGAGAAGAACAGCAGCUUGAACCUGACUUCAUUUAACAGCCCACUGCCCUCUUGCCAAGAACCCAUCACAGACCUUCCCAGAAGAGAGGGAUGAGCCUCACCUAUGAAUAAGUCCUCAGAAACUCAAAUUUGAUUCUAAUGGAUUGUUUUCUCAGAAAGACUGAGCAUGUCCCCCCACAUCUCUGUCAUUUCCCACAGUAGUAACCUCUGCAGAUGCCACAUAGAAAACAAAACAAAACAAAAAAACAUGAGGUUGGUGGGCAGAUAGGCAGGGUAUAAACAAACAGCCUUGUAACCCAGAAGCUGUGUGAUAUACAGUAAACUUCACAACACUGAAAAGAUGUCCUAUCUGUUAAAAUGGGGUAAUAACAACUACCCGAAUGUUUAGGAAUAGAACUUCAAUAAAUGAUACAUUUUAUAGUACAGCAGACCAUCCUGUAAAGGUUUCAUCCUUCACUGUGGUGAUAAAUAUCCCAAACCACAUUGAAAAGCAUUGCAUCUACAUUUAUCUACACUGUAACUGUACUGUAAAUCAUGGGGGAGGGGAGAAUCAUAAAAACACCACCUGUCACCGUGUCAUUAAAGCAAGUUGGAAGUGAUACUUACAGAAACACAGCAAGAGCACCCCCAGUCACACAGUUCAAUCUCUUAGCAAGCGUUUUCUUUCUAGCCCAGUGGUUCUCAGUUUGGAAUUUUUGGCACUGCCUAGAGAUAGUUUUGUUGUUAAAACUGAGAAAAGAGCCGGGCGUGGUGGCACACGCCUUUAAUCCCAGCACUCAGGAGGCAGAGGCAGG
rnacentral:lncRNA from 1 species